UCAUUGCGUCACGCGGUCACGUGACCUAUUGCGGGAAGCAUAAAAUCCAGGAAGAGCGAGAGGGACGUUGCUGCAGGAGCCAACUACUGAAGCCGUGCGAGAGUGUUUAAGUGGGAUUUAUCUGCGGAAUUGGACAUGUUGGAUGGCGAGCUAGAGCCUGAACUAGAGUCUGAAGCUUUAUGCCUGGAACCGAACCAACCGAACUGAAUCCACCCAACCGAGACCCGGGCGGGUAGGAGGCUCCUCAGCAGCCGCUCUGUUUUUUCCCUUUGGUUUUUCAUAACGCAACAAGUUCAUUUCUGUCCUCCCUGAACUUUCACAUUUAGCCGUUACCUUCACUAAAACCCCUCUGGACACGGCCACCACAACGUGGACUUUGCGAGGUCGUUUAAUGAACUGUCGUGUUGCGCCUAUACCAUUCUUGGUAAAAACAAGGACUGAAUCAAGUACUGUAUCACAUUGUAAAUAUUGAACGUUCUGUAAUUUAUGUUAAAAAUGUGAAUGGCCAUUCGAAUUUACAUGUCUUUUUGUUGUUUAUUUUUCCUAUAAUUCUUUAAUAUAAUUUGGUACCAUUUAAACUUAAAACCUGUGUUCAGUCUGCAUUACUCUCCAUUCCUAGAGCUGAAUUUAGUUUCUUCUCAUCUAGCCCAGUUAUAUAAUUCAUUGUUUACUUAAUACUUGUACAGUGCUUUACUUAAGUAACAUACAGGCUA